rnacentral:antisense_RNA from 1 species
CUUGACGGAGCCGAGCAGCAGCGGGCUGUCCGGGUCGCGGUCCUGGCCGUAGGCGGCGAGCAGGGCCUGGGCCUC